rnacentral:rRNA from 1 species
GAGUUUGAUCAUGACUCAGGAUAAACGCUGGCGGCGUGCAUGAGACAUGCAAGUCGAACGGACGAUCGGGGUUCGCUCUGAUCGUUAGUGGCGGACGGCUGAGUAACGCGUGGGUGACCUGCCCCGAAGUGGGGAAUAACUGCCCGAAAGGGUGGCUAAUACCGCAUGUGAUGGUGUGCUCGAUCAUGCCAUCAAAGCCGUAAGGCGCUUCGGGAGGGGCCUGCGUCCGAUUAGCUCGUUGGUGGGUAACGGCUCACCAAGGCGACGAUCGGUAGGUGGUCUGAGAGGACGAUCACCCAGACUGGGACUGAGACACGGCCCAGACUCCUACGGGAGGCAGCAGUCGGGAAUUUUGCGCAAUGGACGAAAGUCUGACGCAGCAACGCCGCGUGAGGGAUGAAGGCC